ACAGAUUUUGGAGUACUGCAAAAUGAUUUUCUGAAUUGAUGAACCAUGGACUCUAAGCUGGAUAGACAGAGAAAUGAAAAGAAGGGACUAAUAGGGAAUAAGACGUGUGAUCCAUGGUCCGAUAGCGCUGAUGGACGUGAAGAUCCACUGUUGUGGGAGGAGUGGAACACUAACACUAAAUGAUGGGGGCUGUGGUCAGAAACAGCUGAAUAUAACUGGCCAGUGCAGAAGAGCCUAGUGAAGGUGGAGAAUGGGGGAAGGAGGGCCCCAUGCUGGAGAAGUGAUGGAGAUUUGAAGUCUUGGAAGGUGGUGGUAAGGGAGAUGCCAGAGACGAGGCAAAACCUAGUACUCUGUUAAACAUCUGUAAUCUAACAGUCUUCUAUGGGAGUUUAUUAUAUUUCCAUAUCCUAUGUUCACUUAUAGUGAGAAAUAAAAAUAAAAUCUUAAGCCCCCCACAACGGAUUAAAUGGAUCCCAUUGUGAAAGGAAAAUACCUUGAGCCUCCAAAAUCACUAAGGAAAAUUCAAGCUGGAAACUGCUUAGGGCAAACCUGCCUCCCAUUUUCUUCAAAGUUAUCCCUCUGCUCACGGAGAUAGAGGCCUAUCUGAUUGCCGCCUUUGGAAAGGCUCAUCAGAAACUCAAAAGAAUGCUACAGUUUGUUAUCACCUUUGUGUGACCUGGAAGCUCCCUCCCUCCCCGCUUGAGUCUUCCUGUUUGUUUCAAACUGUCCCGACUUUCCAGACCAAACCAAUGUACUUCUUAUGAAUAUUGAUUGAGGUCUCACGUCUUCCUAAAUCAUAUAAAACCAAGUUGUGCCCCAACCACCUCGGGCAUGUGUCGUCAGGAUUUCAUGAAGCUAUGUCAUGGGCGCGUUCCCCAACCUUGAAAAAAUAAACUUUCUAAAUUAACUGA